UCUCCUACAGCCGCUUAAAAAACAUGCAAAAAGCAAAGAAAAACUUACCGCAGAUAGGUGUAGGACUUUCGUCGUCUUUUUCGAUGAUGUUGUCCUCGAGCAAGUCUUCGGUGUGGAGAGUAUUUUGUGGGAAAAACCCCUCUUCUUUCACCGCGAGCAAGCCUUCAGCCUCCGCUGGAACGUCAUUGUUCUUCAAUGUCAAAACACUUUUUGGCGGGAGACCCGUUAAAGGCGUCCAACGCGCCAGAGGCGUAAAAGAAACAUCUGAACCACCACCACCGGAGUAAACACCCCGCAUUCAGAGUUAAAAGACUCCAAAGAAAAGACGUCUGGUUCGGUCGACUGAGGCUGAUAGGAUCCGUUGAUUUUAGGAGCACGGAGACUGGCACGGAAAACCCAACGACCUGAGGCCAAAAAAUCCUACUUUUCCGAGUAGCGUCGUGGUAAGUUUUAUCAUUUUUAUAAAUUGAAACUGGCGUUUCGCUAAUCAUGCCUACUGAAACAACAGCUUUCUCCAUCUUUUCCAUUUUCUCUUAAUGCUCGUACUAACAAAGACUUACCAUUCACAUAUACCAGUGUAUGUGUGUGUGUGUACGUACAUGUGUUAAUACUCAAAAAGUCGUAAAUCGCAUUUUGACAUAAAGUGUCUCCCCCCUUAGCCCCACCUUCCUCUGACCUCCCCUUCACCCCACCCCUCCUCUUACAGGGCCAUCAAUCACAUUUUGACAUAAGGUGUCUCCCCCUCAGCCCCGCCUCCUUCUGACCUCCCCUUCACCCCACCCCUCCUCUU